rnacentral:rRNA from 1 species
GUCCUUUAGAGUAGAAUUUAAGGUUUAACCUGCCCAGUGAUUAUUUAACGGCCGCAGUAUUUUGACUGUGCAAAGGUAGCAUAAUCAUUAGUUUUUUAAUUGAAAGCUUGUAUGAAUGGUUGGACGAGAUAUAUACUGUCUUUAUGUUAUUAAUAGAAUUUAAUUUUUAAGUUAAAAAGCUUAAAUUUAAUUAAAAGACGAGAAGACCCCAUAGAUCUUUAUAUUUAUUUUUAUUUAAUUUUUAAGGAUUAUUAAAUUUUAUAUAGGUUUAAAUAUUUAAUUGGGGUAAUUAAAAGAUUUAGAAAAUUCUUUUUUUAUUUUACAUUGAUAAUUGAAUUUAUUGAUCCAUUAUUAGUGAUUAAAAGAUUAAGUUACCUUGGGGAUAACAGCGUAAUUUUUUUUGAGAGUUCUUAUCGAUAAUAAAGUUUGCGACCUCGAUGUUGGAUUAAAAUUAAUUUUAGGUGUAGAAGUUUAAAGUUUUAGUCUGUUCGACUAUUAAAAUUUUACAUGAUCUGAGUUCAAACCGGUGUAAGCCAGGUUGGUUUCUAUCUUUAUUUAGUUAUAAUAUUUUAGUACGAAAGGACCAAAUAUUAAAUAUAUAAUAUUUAUUUAUUUGAAUGAAAUU